GUAGUUGUGGCCGAGUGGUUAAGGCGAUGGACUUGAAAUCCAUUGGGGUCUCCCCGCGCAGGUUUGAAUCCUGCCGACUACG
rnacentral:tRNA from 2 species